UGGCACUCCAACUUCUACUAACUGGUGGGGUCACACUCCCAGUAUUUUCCAGAGAGAAGUACUGAGAAGCUUAAAGUAUUUGAAUGGGAGGAGGAGAAGCAAACUACAGCUACUUCAGAGGAUAACACUAAACACCUAGUCCACUCUGUAUACACUAGAGGUGCUGUUAAUUUUCUUGUGGAGAAGGAACUGUCUUUAGAAAAAUAUCUCAAAAAGCCACUGAAGUAGAAAGUUUCAGCAUGCUGAAGAUGGAACUUGAGAAGAUAGAAAGUUCUGGGUCCUUAGUGGCAUGACUGAGUCGCUGGACCACUGUUGGAACCACCCUAUGUCUUAGUUUUUAAAUCUCUUUACUGUCUAAGACAUUUUUAGUGGAAGUAUUUAUCUCUGGCAUCCAAUAAGACCUUUAAGGAUUUGCAGUUUUAUCUAUGUGUUUGUUUAUUGUCUGCUCCACCCUACUUGAUUGUGAUCACCAUGACAUCAAUGACUGUGCAUCUUUUGUUCACUCAGGAAUAUCCAGUGCCUGCC
rnacentral:lncRNA from 1 species